rnacentral:tRNA from 1 species
GUCGGUGUAGCUCAGUGGUAGAGCAAGGACCUUUUAAGUCCGAGGCCGUGGGUUCGAGCCCCACCACCGACA